CCAAAACCUCUGCCCAUGUGCCACACCUGAUUCAUCUUACGCCAUAACUUCAGAAGAGAAACCAACUUAUCGGCCUCAUCUCUAAAAACACCCCCUUAACAUCGGCUCAUUUCCGCCUGUACUCCACAGGAGUCGCGUUUAGCUUUGGUAGCUCUGCAACAAAAAUAAUAUUUGCGGUUAAUAAUAAAUGCGCCGAGAUGCUUUGAAGUUGGAGGUUGCUGGUUCCUCUGAUCCAAGCCGGUGUUUGUACGCGCACGGGCUGUCGGUGGCUGACGCUAAGGUGGGUUUCCUGGCUGAAACGAGGCCCCCGCGCAUUCUGCAGUCUGACGGGGAAAUGACGUCAGAGCCACGAUCCUCAAGACCCCCCCCCCACCCCAAAAAAACCACAGCAAUCCUGCCUUACGUUACGCUCCACCACAACCUUCUAAGGCCUGGCGAGCGCAGACGGCGAGCGUCACAGUAGACUACGCAAAAGAGACCGCGGCCCUCCGUGGUUGUUCUAAGCCAGUCGAAGAGAACGGCCGCGAGGGUUUGAACACUGUCGUUAAACAGAUAUAUAUACGAUGUCACAAACCAACAACAUGGAGCCCCAGUGAGGCCACGGGCAAACACGCGCCACUUCACAUGCGAGGUCGAUUCAGCCGA
ensembl:lncRNA